UACGGAGGGAGCGAGCGUUGUCCGAAGUUACUGGGCGUAAAGCGCGCGUAGGCGGGGAAUUAAGUGAGAAGUGAAAGGCUGGGGCUCAACCUCAUGCAGUGCUUCUCAUACUGGUUCUCUUGAGGGCGGUAGGGAGAAGUGGAAUGGCUGGUGUAGCGGUGAAAUGCGUAGAUAUCUGGAGGAACACCGGUGGCGAAGGCGGCAUCCUGGACCGGUAUUGACGCUGAGGCGCGAAAGCCAGGGGAGCAAACGGG
rnacentral:rRNA from 1 species